AAUGGCCUAACGGCUGAACUGGCAACUUGGAGAAGUGGCAAGUCCUAUUUUGAUUAUAUCGUGCGCAAGCUAUGAAUAUAAUCUAUAGGGUUGUAUUAAAAUUGAAUAAAACUUUGUUUAUAUAUUGAUAAUGACAGUAUAUAUAUCGUGUCUUGACUAAUUACGUGCCAGCAGUCGCGGUAAUACGUAAGAGACUAGUGUUAUUCAUCUUAAUUAGGUUUAAAGGGUACCUAAACGGUCAAUAUAGCUUCUAGAAUGUUAGUACUUGACUAGAGUUUUAUGUAAGAGGGUAGUACUUGAGGAGGAGAGAUGAAAUUCUAUGAUACCAAAGGGACUCGGUAAAGGCGAAGGCAACCCUCUAUGUAAAAACUGACGUUGAAGGACGAAGGCACAGAGAACAAACAGGAUUAGAUACCCAAGUAGUCUUUGCAGUAAAUGAUGAAUGCCAUAGGUCAGAUUAAGAUUUAAUAACUUAGUUCACCAGUAAGGAACUAAAUAUUAAACAUUAUUUGGUCUAUAAAUGAAAGUGUAAGCAUUUCACCUCAAGAGUAAUGUGGCAACGCAGGAACUGAAAUCACUAGACCGUUUCUGACACCAGUAGUGAAGUAUGUUGUUUAAUUCGAUGAUCCACGAAAAACCUUACCACAAUUUGUAUAAUUAUUACAGGAGUUGCACGGCUGUUUUCAGUUAAUGUUGUGAAACUGUGGUUUCCAUGUAAUUAACGCAAUCCCUGGCUUUA
rnacentral:rRNA from 1 species